UCCUGUAUGGACAGAAUCAAUGCAUGGAUAUUCCAUCAUGACUAGUAUAAAAUAACACAUCUGUUAGCCAUGAUUCACCAUUCUUUGAACUAGAAGGUAUUAAAGAUUCUGAUAUGAUAAUAUGAUUUUGUGGAUUGAAAAAAUUAAAUGCAGAAAUAGAUUUCACGUCACUACAAUUAAAACAUAUAAAUAAAAACAAAAAUCAAAAAUAAAAAAAUAAAAAAUAACUUACACAAAUGAUAAUAAAGAUUAUGACGAGGAGAUUAGAAAAAUAAUUAGGAGAAAUAAUAAAACAGAAAAGUUACCAUACGAUAGAAGCAACCAUUAGGACAGAAAGUAAUGAACCUGUUUGGACGAAACAAUACCAAUAUCGGUAUGCAGAUAACGAUUUCGUCAAUUCAGAAAUAAAAAAAUUAUUAAAGAAUAAUAUAAUACAACCUAGGAGAAGUCCUUAUAACUCACUAGUUUGGACAGUACCAAAAAAGGGUAUAAAUGAAAAUGGAAAUCCCAAGAAAAGAUUAGUGAUAGAUUUUCAAAAAUUAAAUUCAAAAACUAUAACAGAUAGAUAUCCUAUUCCGGAUAUAAACAUGACAAUACAAGCGUUAGGUAAAGCUAAAUAUUUUCCCACGAUAGAUCUACAUAUAUAGGAUAUAGCAAAAUAACAAAACCACUAACCAUACAUCUAGAAGGAAAAAUUGUAUAAGAAGUAAACAAAUUUUAGCUAAGAAAGAAAUUAAAUUAGAUAACGAAGCUAUAAAAGCUAUACAAAUAAUUAAAACAAAAUUAAAAAAAAAGUUUUGAUUUCUCAAAACCUCUUGAUUUAACUACAGAUGCGAGUAACCUAUAUUUUUUAUAUCAAGAACAUUAACAAAAACAAAAGAAAAUUAUUGUACAACGGAAAAAGAAUUAUUAGCAAUAGUACGGGCUAUAGGAAAACUUGGGAAUUAUAUUUACGGCAUAGCAGAUUUAACUGUACACACUGAUCACCAAGCAUUAAUAUUUUCUAUUUCGGACAAAAAUCCAAAUAUAAAACUACAAAGAUAGAAAAAUUGUAUACAAAAAUCUGGAGCAAAAAUAGUAUACAAACCAGGAAAUCAAAACGUAGUAGCAGAAGCACUAUCAAGACAAAUUAACACUUCAACAAUAGAAUCGAUGCACUCGACACGUACAUAGUUCACUAAACGAAAACUAUACAUAUGCAAAACAAACGAUAAAUUCAUUUAAGAAUCAAAUCAUAUUAAAGAAAACUAAACGAAAUAAAAAAGAAACACAAACGACUUUUCCAAAGUAUCACAGACACAUUAUUGAAUAUCAAAACACUGACUAUUUAACAAAAACCUUAAAAGAAAUUUUUAUACCUAAUUUCAAUAACGCGAUUAAAUUGAUAAACAAGAGCUAUUCACAAUAAAAUCACUACUAAGUAAAUAUUUUCUAAACCACAAGCUCUUUAUAGUACAAAAUCUAGUCGAAGACAUAACAGACAAACACAAGCAAUUGGAAAUUAUAACAAAUACACAUAACCGAGCUCAUAAAAAUGAGAAAAAUGCAGUAUGUGUAGGUACUCAAAAUAUUUAUUAAUGAGAGAAAUGGCAGAUAAAGUCAACACCGAAGACCAACUAGAAGAAAUUCUCACAAUUACAUACCCAUAUUGCAGAAACCUACAAACCGACAAUGCAAAAUUUUGAGGACCACGUAGUCCAAUUGGGUAAUGCUUCGAAGUAGAGGCGAUGAGAUCUGGUUACAUACCUAACCAUAUGUUAUGCUGCACUGGACCAUGGCCGAAAUUGAACAUCGUCUUUUUCGUGAUUGUUCGGCAAUUUGAUUCGGCUAUACUCGUAUGCAGGUAUAUUUAGCAAUGGACAUCAUAAAAAUAACGAUAAUUUUAAAUAAAUCGUAACGAGAUAUCGAUUUAUUUUUCCUAAAAAGUCAUUGAAAAUUAAUUAAUACAUUUCAAAAAACCUUUAUUAACGUAAAUAUUUCUUAUUUAUUACCACGUUGAUGAAUUUGUUAAUUUUUACCCCACUUAAACUUUUUCUGUAUUUGCGGUUGCUUUCAUCAAUCACAUAUGUAUAAGAAUUAGAGCAACCAUUUAAUUCAAAAAGAUCUUUGAAAUACAAUUUUACGAACCGUGUCUUCUAAGAAUUUGAAACAUUUCUCAUUUUAGUUUAAAACAAAUUGAAGCAAAUUAUAAAAAACAUUGAAUAUUUUAGUCUAAAAGUGAACUAUUCAUUAUCGAGAAUAACAAAAUAAAUCGAUUUGCAUAAAAUUUUUAACUUAGAACGAGUUUAAACCCGAAAACUUUUGUUGCUCGUUUUCGGAAUAUUCUCGUCUGGUGUUCUGCAAUCUUUUUGAUAUCAUAUUAUCAAAUUUUUGUACGCUUCAUUUAAAAUGUGCAUAAAAAUAUUUUUCUUAAUAUAAUUUUUAUCUUUAUUCUUAGUUUUCGAAAACACUUCUAUUAUAGUAAACUUAUUUGCACCGAAAUUUUUAUAUUCUAUUUAAAAAGUUUAUAAUUAAAUUAAAUUUUUCUCGACGUGCCCUCGCCUACAGUUUGGGCGAUAAAAGGCGUAGUGUGUCAAUGCGCGCUUAAUCCUUUUAAAGUAUCGAUAAGUCGUUGUAUUCAUAUAUUAUGUAUCGCCCACCUCUACAUUUACUCAUUUUGAAAUUGUCAGACGGAUUGGAUGGAUUGGACCGUACCGUUAAGUCCCUCAGUUCUAUUGGACUUAAAAAAUGAAGAAGUGGUUAUCGAACAUGUUCCCCCGGGAAAGUAUGUUCAUCUCGGCCUUAAAAAUCAAAUUAAGAAAAUUGAAAGUAGUGUGUUAGAAUUUAAUGAAAUUGUAUUUGAUAUUAAUAUUGAUGGUCUGCCAUUAUUCAAUAGUUCAAGAACUCAACUUUGGCCAAUUUUAAUACGCAUAGUUAAUAUUCCAAAUAUAUCGGUAUUUCCUGUGGGUAUAUAUAAAGGCAAAAAAAAGCCAAGUGACAUUGAUAAGUUUUUGAACUAUUUUGUCAAUAAGUUUCAAAUUCUAAGGGUAAAUGGGUUAGAACUAGGCGGUAAAAUACAUUAAUUAAAAAUUAGAUCUUUAAUAUGUGAUGCACCAGCUAGAGCAUGUGGUAUUCCGCAUCACACAUCAGCUCAUGGGUGCUCAAAGUGCACAGCAGAAGCAAAAAAAAAUAGAAAUAUCCUUGUGUAUCCCACGAAAGUGGGAAAAAUUGUAAGUGAUGAAGAUUUCGAUCUCCGAAGACACAUUGAUCAUCACCAAAUAGAAUUUCGCACAGUUAAAACGCCAUUUGAAAAAAUAAAUUUAAAAAUGAUAACACAUGUACCUUUAGAUCCAAUGCAUUUAAUCGAUCUUGGAGUUAUGAAAAAGUUUUUAGUUAGAAUUUUAAAAAAUAAAUUAAGUUAUGAAAAGCGACUAUGUGUAGCAAACAAAAAACAAAUAUCCGAUCAUUUGGAAUCGCUUAAAAUUCACAUUCCAAAGGAAUUCGUUCGUCUAUCUCGAAGUCUUGAGGAAGUUGAACACUGGAAAGCUACAGAAUUCAGACAAUUUUUGCUUUACACGGCUAUUUUAGCUCUAAAAGAUAAAGUGCAUGAAGAUGUAUACUAUGAGUUUUUAUUAUUACAUUGCGCUUGUAGAUUGCUCUCCAAAAACUGCUCUGUCCAAAAAAUGUUCAUUCAAACUUAAAAAACGCGGAAGACGCCUUGAAAUUAUUCGUUGAAAAUUUUCCAAAAAUAUUUGGAGAUGAUAGUGUUUCAUACAAGGUUCACAGUCUAUUGCACCUAGCUGAUAGUGUAAAAACGUUAGGAGCUAUUCAGAAUUUUUCUGCGUAUGACUUUGAAAAUUAUUUUCAAAAUUUAAAAAAAACGUUAGAAAACCUACUAAAAUUUUAAAGCAACUAACUAAUAUAAAUACAUAUUCUGACUUUCAUGUUAAAUCUAAAAUAACAGGAUUUAUAGAAAUAAAUAUAUAUUAUAAUAAAUAUUAAAGCAUAUACCAAUCUGCAUUAUUUUUUUAGCACAAAAAGUCCAAAUAAUAUCUGUUUAAUCUACCCUUUUAUUAUUAUAAAUAUUCAAGCUUUUGAAAAAUCGGAUUCCGGCUCUGGGCUAAUAAUUGGAAGACGAUAUGUUAAUACUAUUAGUUUUUUCAAAGAACCCUUAGACUCUUUUUCAGCUUUGGGUAUAUGCUUAGCUGAUGCUGUACCCAAAACUGAAAAUGAAGUGUUUUCAAUUGAAAACAUAACUUGGAAAAUGUUAUGUUUGCCACAUAACGACCAAUUACUUUUUAUACCAAUAUUACAUGGCUGCACUAAUUAACAUUUUUAAUUUUGUUUUCAUAUACAUACUUACAUACAUAUGUAAAUAUUUGGAGUUGGUACAUAAGGAAAAAAAAUGGAAACAGCUGGAAAGCUUCGCCGGAUGAACGCCGGAAUACCCCAAUUAUUUUUAGGAGAAGGGAACUGUUAGAGCUAUUUCCAAAUUUCCUAUAAAAACAGAUGAUGAUAUCGUGAAAUUAGAGGCGGAAAUAAAUGAUGAUAAUAGAGAUAUUUCAGCAGUGCAAUACUUGUUGCAAGGAGAGGUUGUAAAAAAUUUCGAAAAAGUUUUGGCGCGUAAAUUUUGCCUUGAAUACAACAUUAAUGGAAUUGGCAACAAAAAGAGCUUUAAGGAUUAUUCGAUGGUGUAUACCAUACUUAAAAAAGCAAUUGGAAAAACAGCAGUAAAUGCGGAAACAGAAAUGAGGAGGGCUUUUCAGGUCGUAAAAAAGAGGCAUUUCCGGCAGGUUUCUUCGAUCAAAAAUUAUACCUAAUAUAAAAACUGAUUUUUUUUCGUUACACAUACGUACCUCUCCCAAAAUAGAGUUAAGUUUUUAAUAAUAAUUUAAGUGUAAUAUAUGUAAAUAAAAUUUGUUUUAUAAAAAAUGAAUUGGAGCAUCCAAAUAAAAUAUUUUAAGUUUAA